GUGCUUGUUUCGGCAGCACAUAUACUUAAAUUGGAAUGAUACAGAGAAGAUUAGCAUGGCUCCUGUGCAAGGAUGACACGCAAACUCAUGAGGCAUUCCAUAUUUUU